CCGCGUGAGUGAAGAAGGCCUGCGGGUUGUAAAGCCCUUUCGGCCCUUAUUAAAAGCCUCGAGCUAACACCUCGGGGUCUUGACGUCACCCAUAGAAGAAGCACCGGCUAACUCUGUGCCAGCAGCCGCGGUAAUACAGAGGGUGCGAGCGUUAAUCGGAAUUACUGGGCGUAAAGCGCGCGUAGGCGGCUUUGCUAAGUCGGGUGUGAAAUCCCCAGGCUUAACCUGGGAACUGCAUUCGAGACUGCAUUGCUAGAGUAUGGGAGAGGGAAGUGGAAUUUCCUGUGUAGCAGUGAAAUGCGUAGAUAUCGGAAGGAACAUCAGUGGCGAAAGCGACUUCCUGGACCAAUACUGACGCUCAUGUGCGAAAGCGUGGGGAGCAAACAGGAUUAGAUACCCUGGUAGUCCACGCCAUAAACGAUGAGAACUGGAUGUCGGGAGGGUCUGCCUCUCGGUGUCGUAGCUAACGCGUUAAGUUCUCCGCCUGGGGAGUACGGCCGCGAGGUUGAAACUCAAAGGAAUUUGACGG
rnacentral:rRNA from 1 species